rnacentral:rRNA from 1 species
UACGUAGGGUGCAAGCGUUGUCCGGAAUUAUUGGGCGUAAAGAGCUCGUAGGCGGUCUGUCGCGUCGGCUGUGAAAUCCCGAGGCUCAACCUCGGGUCUGCAGUCGAUACGGGCAAACUGGAGUGUUGCAGGGGAGACUGGAAUUCCUGGUGUAGCGGUGGAAUGCGCAGAUAUCAGGAGGAACACCGGUGGCGAAGGCGGGUCUCUGGGCAAGAUAACGAUCGCUGAGGAGCGAAAGCGUGGGGGAGCGAACAGG